rnacentral:rRNA from 1 species
ACGAACGCUGGCGGCGUGCCUAAUCCAUGCCAGUCGAGCGGACUGAUUAAGAGCUUGCUCUUAUGACGUUAGCGGCGGACGGGUGAGUAACACGUGGGCAACCUGCCCUGUAGAUCGGGAUAACACCGGGAAAUCGGUGCUAAUACCGGGUAAUAUCUGAGAUCACAUGAUCUUAGGUUAAAAGAUGGCUCCGGCUAUCACUACAGGAUGGGCCCGCGGCGCAUUAGCUAGUUGGUAAGGUAAUGGCUUACCAAGGCGACGAUGCGUAGCCGACCUGAGAGGGGGAUCGGCCACACGGGGACUGAGACACGGCCCAGACUCCUACGGGAGGCAGCAGUAGGGAAUCUUCCGCAAUGGACGAAAGUCUGACGGAGCAACGCCGCGUGAGUGAUGAAGGGUUUCGGCUCGUAAAGCUCUGUUGUUAGGGAAGAAACAGUACCGAACGAACUAGGUCGGUACCUUGACGGUACCUAACCAGAAAGCCACGGCUAACUACGUG